UCGCUGGUCGACAUGCUGCCUGAGAUGAUGUCGGUUGACUCCAGAGACGGCGAGAAUCCAUUCUUCCACUUGGUGUUCCAGGCUUGUGGCAUGUUUCUUGGGAUAGGAAUCAUGCUUAUCAUCGCCAUGUACGAGGACAAGAUGAAAACCAUGAUGGAACCUUAAAACAGAAAUCUACAAACCCAGAAAAAACCCAGCAAUGUACGAACCAACUAAAGGUCUGCGCCACCAAUUACUGCCACGAUUAAUGACUGACAAUACUCAAAAAACCUUUCACGCUAUCAUUGUUAAGUUUGUUCUUAUCAUUUUUGCAUAAUGAAUCUAUGUGUGAUACUGUGUCCUUGAUGCAAUGAAAUCCUCUCUUGCUUUCUUAGCUGUGCUCCCGUUACAAUGAUAUAGAUUUAAAUGCAUUACAGUCCUGCAUGUGUCCAACCCCCCCCCCUUCCGGAAAUGUCAAAUUUCUUAAAUAUAUACAUUGUACAAUUAUACCGAGAAUAUGCCUCGCUCCGUCCGCCCCGCCCCGGCAAACUCAAAUACCCUCCUCUCCCGGAAAAAAAUUGCUUGAUCUGCGCAUGGCUAUAAUUAAUGUGCAACUUGUUGGACAUUUCAGUGUGUUGAACAAUUUUUGUGAGGCGUUACGUAUACUAGUAACUUGUGGUUUUUUUUUCGAAAAUAGUUAACAAGGAAAAUGAUAACAUCAUUGUUUCUUUUCAGUACGUAGCAGAUUUUAAGACCGUAAGGUUGAACAUUUUUUGCAAGUCUUUUAUCAUAAUAAAUUAUAGGCGAAAAUCGUGUUCAAAUGUAAAGAUUUUAAAGCGCCUUGUCAUUAGUGUAUAUCUGGAUAGAUUGGUUCGUCGUUUAUUUUAUUUUAUUGUCAGGUCCUUAAAGUUGCAGCUAUUUGUCAAUUUGUUUAUCAAACUGUUUGUUUGAUUGUUUAAAGUUUAUAUCACAGAAAAUUCAUCUGAUAAACAAUGCAAGAGUGAUUUGAUUGUAAAUACAUGUAUACAAGCUUGUGGAGUACAUAAGUUUUAUAACUGCAUGCAUGUCUUAAUAUCAUUUCAAAAAUGAUAUGCAAAUUUUUAAAAAUGUUUAUUGUUUUGUUUAUUUAUAUGAAUGUUUUUCUCCCCUUUUGUACAUAUUUACGUGUACCGGUACAUAUAGAGAUAUUUAAUAAAUGAUAUACUCAUGAUGUUUAUCAAUAAACUGCAAUAUAUA
rnacentral:misc_RNA from 1 species